AUGAGGAAGCAUUGGCAAUCUCUCUCCUGUUGUAUCCUCUUGAUCCUCGUCUCGAGUAGCGCUUCCACUCUAGAUCACAUGUGCAAGUACGUCGCCACAACCCGCAAGGACAUCGGCUACGAUUACUGCAUCAAGUUUUUCCAAGCUGACAAAGCCAGCGCCACCGCCAAUAACCGCGGCCUUGGCGUCGCCACACAGAUCAGCCGCGCAGCAGCCUCGGACACCCUCAAGCGAAUCGACACCCUCAUGGCGUCAGAUAAGGACAAGAAGAUCCAUGCGCGCCUUCUGACAAAGCCCGACCCCCGCAGGCUAGGGAUACAUCCUCCUUUUCAAGGUGGCGGUGAACCUCAACGCCGUGGUACUGGACACCUACACGUGUGA
rnacentral:rRNA from 1 species